ensembl:ncRNA F23C11.2 ncRNA
ACACUCACAUGAGAGUCAAGAUUUCAAAAACCGGCAGUAUUAUGCGAGACUGUGCAAAUAAAACCGC